CAAACACUGUCACUCACUCCCUCUCUCUCUACCUCUGUCUUUCGCUCUCCCCUCUCCCUCUCUCAGAUGUUCUAUUCUGGGAAGUUGUGCCAGGAAUAAUAGCUUCGGCGUCUUCCUCGCAAACUGAAAAAUCGUGUCGAGGAGGAUGUUUUACUCACAAGGUGUCUUCAUUUAGUAGCAGCAUAAGGCUUUAGAAUAGUCAUACGGAAGUCGAUCUUUUUUUGUGCUAAUUCUUGUUUAAUUUUUCACUCUUGAGUCUUGGACGCUUUUAUCCGACAAUUAGCGAAGUGUCAAGAGCGUUGUCAUAGGUUGUCAUUUAUUUGGGAUUUUACCGGACGUGGGUUUUUGCACGGCACCUGAAGUGUGACACGGGCGUGUGAAGAGGGUGUGUGCCUGGAUAGGCUUGCCAGGACUGCCAGGCAGAAGUCGUCUGUCAAAUCCCAGAGAUUGCUUUUCACUGCAUUAACCAGAGAAGGGAGAGAGGAGAGAGACGUGAAAGCCGGACAGACAAUGUCCCUUCUCUUUAUGGACUCCAAUGAUGGGACGAGGGG
ensembl:lncRNA